UACGAAGGGGGCUAGCGUUGCUCGGAAUUACUGGGCGUAAAGGGCGCGUAGGCGGCACUGUUAGUCAGGCGUGAAAGUCCUGGGCUCAACCUGGGAACUGCGCUUGAUACGGCAGAGCUAGAGGAUGGAAGAGGGUCGCGGAAUUCCCAGUGUAGAGGUGAAAAUUCGUAGAUAUUGGGAAGAAACACCGGUGGCGAAGGCGGCGACCUGGUCCAUUACUGACGCUGAGGCG
rnacentral:rRNA from 1 species